AGAGUCAGGCCUGCAACCCUCCACCAUCACCCAAUGCCCGGUCCCUGUGCCCAGCUCACCUGUCUCUCCCCAGAUGGGCAGGUACUCAUCCUGCUGAAUGUCCAGCAUGAUCUCCAGCCCGUUGCCUGUCCCCCCCUUGACCGUGGUGAGCAGAGGUUUGCCAUCCUCGCCUGAGUUAAACAUGUAACACUUCCCAUAUUUUGUAAACACCUGAAGGAGAGAAGAGAGAGAGAGAGAGAAGCACAUGGGUAACUUCAGACGGGGGUCCAGAGAUUGGCGAGACCCCAGAAAUCUGACAGCAGGACCCAAGCGUUUUUUGACUGCAUCACUCUGGUUUCCUAGCUGGACUUCAGGAUUCCAGAUGACCUUCUCCAGCCCAUCCUCUAAGCUCCUGUCACACCAAGGGUGUCUAACAGCUGCGUGCAGGGUAAACAGACAGAUGCAUGAGCUAUGUGUGAGGACAGGUGCUUCAUGCUCCUGGGAGUCCUGUGAGGCUGGAGGAGGUCAUUCUCUCUGGGGCGGCCUGUCCUCUCCAAGAGGACCAUGAGUGGCCAUUG
ensembl:lncRNA novel transcript, antisense ASIC2